rnacentral:rRNA from 1 species
CUACGGGCCGCACCAGCGAGGAAUUUUAGUCAAUGGGCGAAAGCCUGAACUAGCGACGCCGCGUGGGGGAUGAAGGUUUUAGGAUUGUAAACCCCUUUUAUCAGGGAGGAAUAAAAUGACAGUACCUGAUGAAUAAGCCAUGGCUAACUACGUGCCAGCAGCCGCGGUGAUACGUAGGUGGCGAGCGUUAUCCGGAUUUACUGGGCGUAAAGCGGGUGCAGACGGUUUCUCAAGUCGGGCGUAAAAUCUCCCAGCUUAACUGGGAGGGACCGUUCGAUACUGUGAGGCUAGAGGACAGCAGGGGGAGGUAGAAUUCCCGGUGUAGUGGUGGAAUGCGUAGAUAUCGGGAGGAAUACCAGUGGCGAAGGCGGCCUCCUGGGCUGUUUCUGACGUUCAGACCCGAAGGUGUGGGGAGCAAACAGGAUUAGAUACCCCUGUAGUC